GGAACAAGAUGAGAAAAAUGUUUAGGACAAGAAGACGUCAUUUAAUCCAAAUGAAGCUCAGCUUCUUCCUACUGAUGUCAUUUGAUGCUCAGGGAUUUGGACAAAGGCCUCUGUGAUGGAAGCUGGCUGCACAGGGACUGGAACCAAGGCUGAAAGUCAAAGUACACUAGGGAGUAAAGAUAGGGUGGCACCUAGCUUGGAUCAUUACUGCUUUCCUGGCCACCCUGGCUCUUAUAAUGCCAUGACAGUGCCCUACCUCUGGGCCAGAAACUUUGGA